rnacentral:misc_RNA from 1 species
GUGGCGCUCUCCCAGCUGCCCUCACAAGAAUGGAAACAAAGGAUGUAGAAGACGAGCUAACAUGGAGCAGAGAAACAAUCCCAAGAGUCAUGAAGAUAGUCAGCACGAGACUCCCUCAAAGAGACCUUGUGUCUCUUCUGCUUGUUAGCCCUUGGCUCCACCGCACUCUCAUCUCUUAUCUCUCUCUCUGGCUGGUUCUUGAUUUUCGUGAGAUGAAUAAGGCUGGAGAUAGACUUAUAAGGGCUCUUUCACUGUCAAGAUACCAGCAUGUGAAGCAGAUUAACCUUGAAUUUGCACAAGAUAUUGAAGACAGACAUCUUGAAGUCCUUCAAAACAAGGUAUGUGGCAUUAAUGUUGACAAAUUAGAUUGCUCUUACUUCAUAUAUAAACAGCUAGGUGAAUCUAGGUUCCUUGAGUGCUUGAAGUUUAAAUAUUAAAGGUUUUAUGCUUAAUUUCAUCCUCUAUAUUUAUAAGCCAGGGAGAAACUAACAAGCAUAAGUACAGAAAAUAUCAGGAUAACUCAUCCCAAGAGCUGGACUAAACAGGAGUGACUCAGGAUGAUGGCCUUAUCUAGAAAUUUUUGAUAAGUGGACUGAACUUGUUAUUUUGUAGUGCCAAAUGCAGAGAUAUCCUCGUUGUCACUGUAGCAUACAAUAGAUUUAGAAGCGUAACUAGGGGAAGGAAAAUGAGUAGAAACAAAAAUGUGGCAUCCUUGUGGCUAUUUCUUGCAAUAUUGGUAAGUCAGCUUGUAAGUGUCACCUAGUUAUCAUAAUAUUGACACGCUGAUAAAAGUUUAGGCUGAAACAUUUCAAGCAUACAGAAAACAACAUAGGCGAGUUGCCUUUGAGUUUUCAAAUUACUCAACAUUUAUUAAUGCAUAGAAGAUCUAUGGCCCCAAAAUUUACUUCUGAAACAGCGAUUUUAAUAGAGGAAUUUUACCUUGAUUUUGAUUGUUGCAUCUAAAAAUUUUUAUCCCAGUUUACUUUAUACAAUUUGAAAUUGUUUAAAUGCUUUUGCUGUCUCUGAAGAUUAUAGUGAUGAAAUUUAAGCAUUUCAGUCUAUCAUUUCUCUUCAAAGCUUGGAGUCGUUAAAUUUGAAUGGCUGCCAGAAGAUCUCUGACAAGGGAAUAGAAGCUAUAACCAGUGCUUGUCCAAAACUGAAGGUCUUCUCUAUUUAUUGGAAUGUGAGGUACUUGAAGAUUUACAAGAUUUGCAUAUUAGUAGUUCAAAUAAAUCAGUAGAGCUAAACUUCUUUCAUUGCUAAGAAGUUCACAUGUGGAUUGAGCUUCAGGGUGACAGAUGUUGGUAUAAAGUAUUUGGUGGAGAAUUGCAAACAUGUAGUUGAUUUGAACUUGAGUGGCUGUAAGGUACUUGAUCACCAACUUAAUGCUGGUUAUCUGUUGUCCCAUUUGCAGUAUACCAUGCAGGAGUAUGGAGAAAAUCAAAAUGUAUUUGAGUGCAGGCUUUGAGCAAUAUCCUUAUAAUUAAAAUGUACCAUACACAGAUGAUGUAAUUAUAUAAUUUUUAAAUUCUUGGUAGAAAAUAAUAGGAAAAAGGAGAUAACACGUAAGCAAGUGUAGAUAGUUGAAAAUUCACUUUGUUUCCUACAACUGAAUUAGGCAAAUGAUAAAUUUUCUUUCCUUUUUUUUUAUUUUUGUUUUUUGUUAUGCAGAAUAUAUCAGACAAAAGUUUGCAAUUAGUUGCUGACAACUAUCAAGACUUAGAGUCAUUGAAUCUGACUAGGUGCAUCAAGCUAACAGAUGGUGGUUUGCAACAAAUAUUGGUCAAGUGCUGCUCUCUCCAGAGUUUAAAUCUUUAUGCCCUUUCCACCUUCACUGACAAAGCUUACAAGAAAAUAUCAAAUCUAGCCCAUCUACAAUUUUUAGAUUUAUGUGGUGCCCAGAAUCUCUCUGAUGACGGACUUUCUUGUAUAGCUAAAUGCAAAAAUCUUGUCUCACUAAAUUUGACAUGGUGUGUUCAAGUCACUGAUGUGGGGGUUAUAGCAAUUGCUGAAGGUUGCACCUCUCUUGAGUUUCUUAGCUUGUUUGGAAUUGUUGGUGUGACUGACAAGUGCCUGGAGGCACUUUCAAAGUUCUGCUCAACUACAAUUACAACCCUUGAUGUAAAUGGAUGCAUUGGCAUAAAGGUAUCCAACUAUUUCUUGUUGCAAAGGGCUUCUGACCAUCUGUUGUAUAUUGUUUAUUUGCAAGCUAAUAGUUGCCAGGUCUUUAUUUUAGAUCAGAACUGAAAACCCCAGUGACCCCCUUGGCCCCCGAAUAGGGGGAAAAAAAAGAGAUUUUCCUGCUCCUCUUUUACUUUGACUAUGCUGAGUAUGAACUGCCAAGAAUUAUAUUGAUCACAAGGUCAAUGGGAAAAAUGCUGAUUGUUUAUUUGAAAUGGCUAAAUCUUGUAUUCAUGCAAUUCAAAUACAAUAAUAAAGUUGAUCCCAGUGAUGCAGUUUCUUCCAACUGCCUAAUACAGUCAUUGUAUUCUUGCUAUGUUAUAUGCCAUAUUCUUUUUCGAUCACCUUUUUCCUUCCACAUUUUGUUAUAAUGUGUUGUAGAUAAUGAAAUUCCUGGUUUUGGUCAAUUCUACAACUUAAUUUUGAUACACAUACACUGGAGUAAUCCAUCACCAAAUCAUGCAAGGUGAUUUGCUAAAUAUUUUUGUAAUGGAAUUUUGUCAUUUCAAUUGCUAGUUCUACUACUUGGUUGCUUAAAGAUUAGAAAAUAUGAAUAACAAAAGAUUUGGGUGGCAAGAGUAAUUGAGCUAGGGGAUAGCAAAAGAUAUUUGAUGAGAUGCUAUGACAGAUUUUUUAUGAAGUUGCUUAACAUUGUAUUAAAGUGAGUCUACAUGUGCAGUGCGUUACUGUAGGCACAAAAACUUGUUCAGAGUUUCAUCAGUGAAAAGUCUGAAACGAUUUCAUUUUUGAGUCCUUGUCUUUUUUUUUUAAUCACUUUCUUAAGUCUAUUUAUUUCUUCCAUUCGUUCCCCUUAUAUUUCAAUCAGUUUGUGGAGUACAAAUUUUUCUUGCAGAAACGGAGCCGGGAAGAAUUGCUUCAGUUGUUUCCUCAUCUGAAGUGUUUCAAAGUACACAGCUGAUACUCUGGAAAUUUGCAUGUGGCUAUAUCCUCACAUAAAGGUGUGUUUCCUUGUAAUAAAUUGGAUUUUCUGUAUGCCAUCUGCAAGCCACAGAGAUGCCAUGCAAAAUGGUAACAAUAAAUCCACUUGAGUUUUUUCCUUUUUUUUAUUUUUUUUAUUUUGGGUGAGACACUAUGAGUUGGAUUAAUGAUAAAAAAUUGCAAACACAUGUGUGAACCUCUGCAUAUUUUACAAUUAUGUCAAAUUCUUGUAUUUUUAUUAAGGUCAUAAAUUUCAUUUAGUGUUACAAUUUUAUCCUCUGUCAACGUUUAAAAUAGAGAUGAUGUGGUAUGCAACGACAACUAAACCUUAAUUCCAAACU